rnacentral:rRNA from 1 species
GUGUCAGCCGCCGCGGUAAGACGAACCGUGCGAACGUUGUUCGGAAUCACUGGGCUUAAAGGGCGCGUAGGCGGGUCGCCAAGUCAGGGGUGAAAUACUCCGGCUUAACCGGAGCAGUGCUUCUGAUACUGGCGAUCUCGAGGGGUGUAGGGGCCUGUGGAACUUCCGGUGGAGCGGUGAAAUGCGUAGAUAUCGGAAGGAACGCCGGUGGCGAAAGCGACGGGCUGGACACCUUCUGACGCUGAGGCGCGAAAGCCAGGGGAGCAAACGGGAUUAGAUACCCCGGUAGUCCUGGCCCUAAACGAUGGGUACUAGAUUGUGGGCUGACAUGGGCUCACAGUCGGAGCAAAAGUGUUAAGUACCCCGCCUGGGGAGUAUGGUCGCAAGGCUGAA